rnacentral:lncRNA from 1 species
GUGAACUGAACUGCUGAUUUCCAAGUGGGAGUUGCUCCAAAGAACCUUUCUAAACAGCCUAGGAGAAGUCUUCCCCACUACAGCAUGCAGAGAGAGGUACCCUCGUUCUCUGCUACAUAAACAGAUGUGGAUGAGGCACAGACAGUCCUGGUCCAGCGAGCACUUCCUCCUCGAAACUCAGCCAGGAUGAAACCGGAUGCCCUGUGGUUGGGGUGGGUGGAGAGUCAUCUGCUGAAGAUGGAGGGACCAUGUAAUGUGGAAAUAACAGUAGCAAACAGAUACUGUACCACACAGAUAGAAGUGCUGGUGGCGGCAAAGUUCUGAAAGUGACACAGAGGAUGGACUGCAGGCAGAAGCUCCGGUUGAGGAAGAUGGAGGAAAGCCAUUUACCAGCUCGACAGCCUUCAGCUAGGGAAAAGGCUCUGUGAGCAUCGUUAAGAAGUGCUUACCAUCCAGCGGUCACGAUGCAUCCAACAAGAGUGAGCGCUAAUGGCCUGGGAACAAAGAGGCAAAUUACUGAGGUCUACUAAAAUGUUUCUCCACUUAUCUUCAAUUAUUCAGACCCAACCCAAUUUCCUUCUAAAUUAAAUGCUGCGGCUUGAGUUAA